rnacentral:rRNA from 1 species
GCACCGUGGGCGCAGCCUGAUGCAGCCAUGCCGCGUGUGUGAAGAAAGGCCUUACGGGUUGUAAAGCACUUUCAGCGAGGAGGAAGGGUUCAGUGUUAAUAGCACUGUGCAUCGACGUUACUCGCAGAAGAAGCACCGGCUAACUCCGUGCCAGCAGCCGCGGUAA